rnacentral:rRNA from 1 species
CCUACGGGGUGCUGCAGUGGGGAAUAUUGCACAAUGGGGGAAACCCUGAUGCAGCGACGCCGCGUGAGUGAAGAAGUAUCUCGGUACGUAAAGCUCUAUCAGCAGGGAAGAUAAUGACGGUACCUGACCAAGAAGCCCCGGCUAACUACGUGCCAGCAGCCGCGGUAAUACGUAGGUGGCAAGCGUUGUCCGGAUUUACUGGGUGUAAAGGGCGUGCAGCCGGAGAGACAAGGCAGAUGUGAAAUCCACGGGCUCAACCCGUGAACUGCAUUUGAAACUGUUUCCCUUGAGGGUCGGAGAGGUAAUCGGAAUUCCUUGUGUAGUGGUGAAAUGCGUAGAUAUAAGGAAGAACACCAGUGGCGAAGGCGGAUUACUGGACGAUAACUGACGGUGAGGCGCGAAAGCGUGGGGAGCAAACAGGAUUAGAUACCCCGGUAGUC